rnacentral:tRNA from 1 species
AAAGUCUUAGUUAAAUAAAUAACAUUAUUUUGUCAAAUUAAAAUUACUAUUAAUAGUAGACUUUU